rnacentral:rRNA from 1 species
ACGGAAGGCAGCAGUGGGGAAUAUUGCACAAUGGGGGAAACCCUGAUGCAGCGACGCCGCGUGAGUGAAGAAGUAUUUCGGUAUGUAAAGCUCUAUCAGCAGGGAAGAAAAUGACGGUACCUGACUACGAAGCCCCGGCUAACUACGUGCCAGCAGCCGCGGUAAUACGUAGGGGGCAAGCGUUAUCCGGAUUUACUGGGUGUAAAGGGAGCGUAGACGGUUCUGCAAGUCUGAUGUGAAAGGCAGGGGCUCAACUCCUGGACUGCAUUGGAAACUGUAGAACUAGAGUGCCGGAGAGGUAAGCGGAAUUCCUAGUGUAGCGGUGAAAUGCGUAGAUAUUAGGAGGAACACCAGUGGCGAAGGCGGCUUACUGGACGGUAACUGACGUUGAGGCUCGAAAGCGUGGGGAGCAAACAGGAUUAGAUACCCUGGUA